AGUGAACGCUGGCGGUAGGCCUAACACAUGCAAGUCGAACGGAAGCACAGGAGAGCUUGCUCUCUGGGUGGCGAGUGGCGGACGGGUGAGGAAUACAUCGGAAUCUAAUUUUUCGUGGGGGAUAACGUAGGGAAACUUACGAUAAUACCGCAUACGACCUACGGGUGAAAGCAGGGGACCUUCGGGCUGUGCGCGAUUGAAUGAGCCGAUGUCGGAUUAGCUAGUUGGCGGGGUAAAGGCCCACCAAGGCGACGAUCCGUAGCUGGUCUGAGAGGAUGAUCAGCCACACGGUAACUGGGACACGGUCCAUACUCCUACGUGAGGCAGCAGUGGUGAAUAUUGGACAAUGGGCGCAAGCCUGAUCCAGCCAUACCGCGUGGGUGAAGAAGGCCUUCGGGUUGUAAAGCCCUUUUGUGGGGAAAGAAAUCCAGCUGGCUAAUACCCGGUUGGGAUGACGGUACCCAAAUAAUAAGCACCGACUAACUUCGUGCCAGCCGCCGCCGUAA
rnacentral:rRNA from 1 species